rnacentral:rRNA from 1 species
ACUCUGAGACAGGUGCUGCAUGGCUGUCGUCAGCUCGUGUUGUGAAAUGUUGGGUUAAGUCCCGCAACGAGCGCAACCCUUAUCCUUUGUUGCCAGCGCGUGAUGGCGGGAACUCAAAGGAGACUGCCGGUGAUAAACCGGAGGAAGGUGGGGAUGACGUCAAGUCAUCAUGGCCCUUACGAGUAGGGCUACACACGUGCUACAAUGGCGUAUACAAAGGGAAGCGACCCCGCGAGGGCAAGCGGAACUCAUAAAGUACGUCGUAGUCCGGAUUGGAGUCUGCAACUCGACUCCAUGAAGUCGGAAUCGCUAGUAAUCGUAGAUCAAAAUGCUACGGUGAAUACGUUCCCGGGCA